rnacentral:rRNA from 1 species
GUGAAGCGGCAACAGCUCAAAUUUGAAAUCUGGCUUCGGCCCGAGUUGUAAUUUGCAGAGGAAGCUUUAGGCGCGGCACCAUCUGAGUCCCCUGGAACGGGGCGCCACAGAGGGUGAGAGCCCCGUAUAGAUGGACGCCUAGCCUGUGUAAAGCUCCUUCGACGAGUCGAGUAGUUUGGGAAUGCUGCUCAAAAUGGGAGGUAAAUUUCUUCUAAAGCUAAAUAUUGGCCAGAGACCGAUAGCGCACAAGUAGAGUGAUCGAAAGAUGAAAAGCACUUUGAAAAGAGGGUUAAAUAGCACGUGAAAUUGUUGAAAGGGAAGCGCUUGUGACCAGACUUGCGCCGGGCGGAUCAUCCGGUGUUCUCACCGGUGCACUCCGCCCGGCUCAGGCCAGCAUCGGUUCUCGCGGGGGGAUAAAGGCCCUGGGAACGUAGCUCCUCCGGGAGUGUUAUAGCCCGGGGCGUAAUGCCCUCGCGGGGACCGAGGACCGCGCAUCUGCAAGGAUGCUGGCGUAAUGGUCAUCAGCGACCCGUCUUGAAACACGGACCAAGGAGUCAAGGUUUUGCGCGAGUGUUUGGGUGUAAAACCCGCACGCGUAAUGAAAGUGAACGUAGGUGAGAGCUUCGGCGCAUCAUCGACCGAUCCUGAUGUUUUCGGAUGGAUUUGAGUAGGAGCGUUAAGCCUUGGACCCGAAAGAUGGUGAACUAUGCUUGGAUAGGGUGAAGCCAGAGGAAACUCUGGUGGAGGCUCGCAGCGGUUCUGACGUGCAAAUCGAUCGUCAAAUCUGAGCAUGGGG